AACGCACAUUGCACUCCUCUGGAGUAUGCCUGUUUGAGAAUCUAUAGUAUUCUUUUUUGCUUUGUUUCUUUGGAAGCAAAGUGAGAGAUAUGAGGUAUCCCUACUUGUAGGGUGCUUUGAAUUAGAUUGUCUCUGUCUUGUAGAAAAUGACGACGUUUUUCACAACCUACAGAAAAGUAUUUGAAUGGAACCUUGGUUUCUUAUGAUGCUGAAUAAGUAGGCGAAAGAAAGAGUUUUCGUAGGACUGGGGUCCAUAACCAUUAAAGCUCCUAGAGCUUGAACCAUGGUCUCAAAUCAGGUAGGAAGACCCGCUGAACUUAA
rnacentral:misc_RNA from 1 species